GACGAACGCUGGCGGCGUGCCUAACACAUGCCAGUCGAGCGCUGAAGGCUGGUACUUGUACCGACUGGUUGAGCAGCGGACGGGUGGUUAACGCGUGUUGAAUCUGCCUUUGAGCGGGGGACAACAUUUGGAAACGAAUGCUAAUACCGCAUAAAAACUUUAAACACAAGUUUUAAGUUUUAAAGAUGCAAUUUCAUCACUUAAAGAUGAUCCCGCGUUGUAUUAGCUAGGUGGUGGGGUAAAGGCUCACCAAGGCGAUGAUACAUAGCCGACCUGAGAGGGUGAUCGGCAUAGUUGGGACUGGGACAUGACCCGACAUCCUACGGGAGGCAGCAGUAGGGGAUCUUUGGCGAUGGAAGCAAGGCUGAACGUUGGACGCCGCGCGAGAGCAGGAGGCUGUCGGGUCGUGAAAGUCUGUUAGUAGUGAAGAACGUAAAGGAGAGUGGAACGCUCAGAUAGUGACGGUACCGACAGAGAAAGGUCCGGCUAACUACGUG
rnacentral:rRNA from 1 species